GAACAGGAGUUUCUGUUUCCUGUACCCGGUCAGACUGACAGGAAGGUGCACACUGAGCGUGCACCUUCCUAUCAUUCCGGCCGGCCACCGCAGACAGCAGAGCAGCUCGGCCACGCUACAGGAGAGGUGAGAACCAACUGCAGCCGCCUGACCGCUCUUGACAGAGCGCUCAGGCGGCUGCAGUAUUUAAAGGGCUGGCGUAUAACACGCACCCAUAAUUUUCCCCCUAUUUUCAGGGAGAAAAAGUGCGUGUUAUACGCCGAUAAAUACGGUAUAUAUAUUGUAACAGAGUCUAUGGGAGGGUAAUAGAAAGAAGGUAUUUAGGACCCAGACUCCUCCAUAGCCUGUACUCAUUCACCUUCCCAAUUAGCAACUGCUGAGGCUUUAAUUAGCAGGUCUCAGAGCAGAAAGGGGGAGAUACAGAGAGAGAGCAGGUCUGUGCUGAGCAGCACCAAACAAAGUGCUAAAGGUUGGUGAAACCAAUGUUUAUUUUGUUGAAUUGUGUAGUUUAUUACCCUGGUUUAGUAAGGGACAUUACUUUAUGUUUAGUUAGUGCUCGAAUUUGAGCUAGGAUUUUGUUUGUAGACUUUCCUUUCUGUUUUGCUGAAGUUUUGUACAAACUGAUUGCUGCAUGGAAUUUUGUGCACGAUGUAAAUAAGCCACACCAUUUUUGCAUAAGAGACUGUUGUUCUGUACCUGUUACCCUAGAGGACUGUGUUGCUUUGCCCUUAAAGGUCAC